AACAUACUCCCUGCGUCCAACAAAGGAUGUCUCAACUUUGAUCAAAUUUGAAUGCAUCUAUACACUAAGUCAUAUCUAGAUACAUCCAAAUUUUGACAAACUUGAGAUUUCUUUUGUUGGACGGAGGGAGUAGUUU
rfam:Brachypodium distachyon strain Bd21 chromosome 1, whole genome shotgun sequence.